GGAGGAAGUUCCAAACAAAGGCGGAAGAGGAAGUACCCUCUACUCCCGAAGUAGCUGAGUUCAUCUUGGAUAAGCAUACAUCUCGACAUCAAGUAUGCAGCAUUGGGCUGGGGACGACUAAGUCCCCAUCCUCCCAGGCUUCUGGACAGAGGAAGAGACUUGACAAUGGCUGUGAUUCAGUUUUGCCCAUGUGGACAAGGAUAGUCCUCUGGAGAUCGCAGAGCAGCAAGAAAAGCACAGGCCACUGCAGAACUUUUUGGAGAAGAGCUUCCAGAAGUUUCUGGCUUGCCUUUCAGCAGGACAUUCACAUAAUAAAUAAAUUUUCUA